GUGUUCUGAGUGAGGUUUACAGUAACGGUAUGUGUUAGGUAUAUAGAGAGUGUUCUGAGUGAGGGUUACAGUAACGGUAUGUGUUAGGUAUAUAGAGAGUGUUCUGAGUGAGGGUUACAGUAACGGUAUGUGUUAGGUAUAUAGAGAGUGUUCUGAGUGAGGGUUACAGUAACGGUAUGUGUUAGGUAUAUAGAGAGUGUUCUGAGUGAGGGUUACAGUAACGGUAUGUGUUAGGUAUAUAGCGAAUGUUCUGAGUGAGGGUUACAGUAACGGUAUGUGUUAGGUAUAUAGAGAGUGUUCUGAGUGAGGGGUACAGUAACGGUAUGUGUUAGGUAUUUAGCGAGAGUGUUCUGAGUGAGGGGUGCAGUAACGGUAUGUGUUAGGUAUUUAGCGAGAGUGUUCUGAGUGAGGGUUACAGUAACGGUAUGUGUUAGGUAUAUAGAGAGUGUUCUGAGUGAGGGUUACAGUAACGGUAUGUGCUAGGUAUAUAGAGAGUGUUCUGAGUGAGGGAUACAGUAACGGUAUGUGUUAGGUAUUUAGCGAGAGUGUUCUGAGUGAGGGUUACAGUAACGGUAUGUGUUGGGUAUAUAGAGAGUGUUCUGAGUGAGGGUUACAGUAACGGUAUGUGUUAGGUAUUUAGCGAGAGUGUUCUGAGUGAGGGGUACAGUAACGGUAUGUGUUAGGUAUUUAGCGAGAGUGUUCUGAGUGAGGGUUACAGUAACGGCAUGUGUUAGGUAUAUAGAGAGUGUUCUGAGUGAGGGUUACAGUAACGGUAUGUGCUAGGUAUAUAGCGAGAGUGUUCUGAGUGAGGGUUACAGUAACAGUAUGUGUUAGGUAUAUAGAGAGUGUUCUGAGUGAGGGUUACAGUAACGGCAUGUGUUAGGUAUAUAGAGAGUGUUCUGAGUGAGGGUUACAGUAACGGUAUGUGCUAGGUAUAUAGAGAGUGUUCUGAGUGAGGGUUACAAUAACAGUAUGUGUUAGGUAUUUAGCGAGAGUGUUCUGAGUGAGGGGUACAGUAACGGUAUGUGUUAGGUAUUUAGCGAGAGUGUUCUGAGUGAGGGUUACAGUAACGUUAUGUGUUAGGUAUAUAGAGAGUGUUCUGAGUGAGGGUUACAGUAACGGUAUGUGUUAGGUAUAUAGAGAGUGUUCUGAGUGAGGGAUACAGUAACGGUAUGUGUUAGGUAUAUAGAGAGUGUUCUGAGUGAGGGUUACAGUAACGGUAUGUGCUAGGUAUAUAGAGAGUGUUCUGAGUGAGGGUUACAGUAACGGUAUGUGUUAGGUAUAUAGGGAGUGUUCUGAGAGAGGGGUACAGUAACUGUAUGUGCUAGUUAUAUAGAGAGUGUUCUGAGUGAGGGUUACAGUAACGGUAUGUGUUAGGUAUAUAGAGAGUGUUCUGAGUGAGGGUUACAGUAACGGUAUGUGUUAGGUAUAUAGAGAGUGUUCUGAGUGAGGGUUACAGUAACGGUAUGUGUUAGGUAUAUAGCGAAUGUUCUGAGUGAGGGUUACAGUAACGGUAUGUGUUAGGUAUUUAGCGAGAGUGUUCUGAGUGAGGGGUACAGUAACGGUAUGUGUUAGGUAUAUAGAGAGUGUUCUGAGUGAGGGAUACAGUAACGGUAUGUGUUAGGUAUUUAGCGAGAGUGUUCUGAGUGAGGGUUACAGUAACUGUAUGUGUUAGGUAUUUAGCGAGAGUGUUCUGAGUGAGGGUUACAGUAACGUUAUGUGUUAGGUAUAUAGAGAGUGUUCUGAGUGAGGGGUACAGUAACGGUAUGUGCUAGGUAUUUAGCGAGAGUGUUCUGAGUGAGGGUUACAGUAACGGUAUGUGUUAGGUAUUUAGCGAGAGUGUUCUGAGUGAGGGUUACAGUAACGGUAUGUGCCAGGUAUAUAGCGAGAGUGUUCUGAGUGAGGGUUACAGUAACGGUAUGUGCUAGGUAUAUAGAGAGUGUUCUGAGUGAGGGAUACAGUAACGGUAUGUGUUAGGUAUAUAGAGAGUGUUCUGAGUGAGGGGUACAGUAACGGUAUGUGUUAGGUAUAUAGAGAGUGUUCUGAGUGAGGGUUACAGUAACGGUAUGUGUUAGGUAUAUAGAGAGUGUUCUGAGUGAGGGUUACAGUAACGGUAUGUGUUAGGUAUAUAGAGAGUGUUCUGAGUGAGGGAUACAGUAACGGUAUGUGUUAGGUAUUUAGCGAGAGUGUUCUGAGUGAGGGGUACAGUAACGGUAUGUGUUAGGUAUAUAGAGAGUGUUCUGAGUGAGGGUUACAGUAACGGUAUGUGUUAGGUAUUUAGCGAGAGUGUUCUGAGUGAGGGGUACAGUAACGGUAUGUGUUAGGUAUAUAGAGAGUGUUCUGAGUGAGGGUUACAGUAACGUUAUGUGUUAGGUAUUUAGCGAGAGUGUUCUGAGAGAGGGGUACAGUAACUGUAUGCGUUAGGUAUAUAGAGUAUGUUCUUGGGGUGUCCUCGGAUGGGGCCACAGUGUCUCCUGACCCCUCCUGUCUCAGCCUCCAGUAUUUAUGCUGCAGUAAUUUGUGUCGGGGGGCUAGGGUCAGUUUAUUAUAUCUGAAGUACUUCUCCUGUCCUAUUCGGUGUCCUGUGUGAAUUUAAGUGUGCUCUCUAAUUCUCUCUUUCUCUCUCUCUUUCUUUCUCUCUCUCGGAGGACCUGGGACCAUGCCUCAGGACUACCUGACAUGAUGACUCCUUGCUGUCCCCAGUCCACCUGGCCGUGCUGCUGCUCCAGUUUCAACUGUUCUGCCUUAUUAUUAUUGGACCAUGCUGGUCAUUUCUGAACAUUUGAACAUCUUGGCCAUGUUCUGUUAUAAUCUCCACCCGGCACAGCCAGAAGAGGACUGGCCACCCCACAUAGCCUGGUUCCUCUCUAGGUUUCUUCCUUGGUUUUGGCCUUUCUAGGGAGUUCUUCCUAGCCACCGUGCUUCUACACCUGCAUUGCUUGCUGUUUGGGGUUUUAGGCUGGGUUUCUGUACAGCUGAUGUACGAAAGGCUUUAUAAAUAAAUUUGAUUGGAUUUGAUUUCUGAGUGAGGGUUGCAGUAACAGUAUGUGCUAGGUAUUUAGCGAGAGGGUUUUGAGUGAGAGCUACAGUGCUGGUGUGUGUGUGUGAGUGAGGAGUAUAGAAUGAGAGCGGGGUGCAGUGUGUGUGUUUGAGUGAGGAGUAUAGAAUGAAAGCGGGGUGCAGUGUGUGUGUUUGAGUGAGGAGUAUAGAAUGAGAGCGGGGUGCAGUGUAUGUGUUUGAGUGAGGAGUAUAGAAUGAGAGCGGGGUGCAGUGUGUGUGUGAGUGAGUGAGGAGUAUAGAAUGAGAGCGGGGUGCAGUGUGUGUGUGUUUGAGAGCGGGGUGCAGUGUGUGUGUGAAUGAGUGAGGAGUAUAGAAUGAGAGCGGGGUGCAGUGUGUGUGUUUGAGAGCGGGGUGCAGUGUGUGUGUGAGUGAGGAGCAUAGAAUGAGAGCGGGGUGCAGUGUGUGUGUGUUUGAGUGAGGAGUAUAGAAUGAGAGCGGGGUGCAGUGUGUGUGUUUGAGAGCGGGGUGCAGUGUGUGUGUGAGUGAGGAGCAUAGAAUGAGAGCGGGGUGCAGUGUGUGUGUGUUUGAGUGAGGAGUAUAGAAUGAGAGCGGGGUGCAGUGUGUGUGUUUGAGUGAGGAGUAUAGAAUGAGAGCGGGGUGCAGUGUGUGUGUGAGGAGUAUAGAAUGAGAGCGGGGUGCAGUGUGUGUGUUUGAGAGCGGGGUGCAGUGUGUGUGAGUGAGGAGUAUAGAAUGAGAGCGGGGUACAGUGUGUGUGAGUGAGGAGUAUAGAAUGAGAGCGGGGUGCAGUGUGUGUGUGAGGAGAAUAGAAUGAGAGCGGGGUGCAGUGUGUGUGUUUGAGAGCGGGGUGCAGUGUGUGUGAGUGAGGAGUAUAGAAUGAGAGCGGGGUACAGUGUGUGUGAGUGAGGAGUAUAGAAUGAGAGCGGGGUGCAGUGUGUGUGUGAGGAGUAUAGAAUGAGAGCGGGGUGCAGUGUGUGUGUUUGAGAGCGGGGUGCAGUGUGUGUGAGUGAGGAGUAUAGAAUGAGAGCGGGGUACAGUGUGUGUGUGAGUGAGGAGUAUAGAAUGAGAGCGGGGUGCAGUGUGUGUGUGAGGAGUAUAGAAUGAGAGCGGG